AGAGUUUGAUCCUGGCUCAGGAUGAACGCUAGCGACAGGCUUAACACAUGCAAGUCGAGGGGCAGCGAGGGAGUGGCAACACUUCCGUCGGCGACCGGCGCACGGGUGAGUAACGCGUAUGCAACCUGCCCUUCACAGGGGGAUAACCGGGAGAAAUUCCGACUAAUACCGCAUACGUCCUCCGGGGGCAUCCCCGGGGGAUGAAAGAAUUAUCGGUGAAGGAUGGGCAUGCGUGAUAUUAGGUAGUUGGCGGGGCAACGGCCCACCAAGCCCACGAUAUCUAGGGGUUCUGAGAGGAAGGUCCCCCACAUUGGUACUGAGACACGGACCAAACUCCUACGGGAGGCAGCAGUGAGGAAUAUUGGUCAAUGGACGAGAGUCUGAACCAGCCAAGUCGCGUGAAGGAAGACGGAUCUAUGGUUUGUAAACUUCUUUAGUGCGGGAACAAAGCGGCGUCGUGACGCCUGAUGAGUGUACCGCAAGAAUAAGCAUCGGCUAACUCCGUGCCAGCAGCCGCGGUAAUACGGAGGAUGCGAGCGUUAUCCGGAUUUAUUGGGUUUAAAGGGAGCGCAGGCUGCGAGGCAAGUCAGCGGUCAAAUGUCGGGGCUCAACCCCGGCCUGCCGUUGAAACUGUCCUGCUAGAGUUCGAGUGAGGUAUGCGGAAUGCGUUGUGUAGCGGUGAAAUGCAUAGAUAUGACGCAGAACUCCGAUUGCGAAGGCAGCAUACCAACUCGCGACUGACGCUGAGGCUCGAAAGCGUGGGUAUCGAACAGGAUUAGAUACCCUGGUAGUCCACGCAGUAAACGAUGAAUACUAACUGUUCGGAGGGCGACCUCUGAGUGGUAAAGCGAAAGCGUUAAGUAUUCCACCUGGGGAGUACGCCGGCAACGGUGAAACUCAAAGGAAUUGACGGGGGCCCGCACAAGCGGAGGAACAUGUGGUUUAA
rnacentral:rRNA from 1 species